UACGUAGGUGGCAAGCGUUGUCCGGAAUUAUUGGGCGUAAGCGCGCGCAGGUGGUUUCUUAAGUCUGAUGUGAAAGCCCACGGCUCAACCGUGGAGGGUCAUUGGAAACUGGGGGAACUUGAGUGCAGAAGAGGAAAGUGGAAUUCCAAGUGUAGCGGUGAAAUGCAUAGAGAUUUGGAGGAACACCAGUGGCGAAGGCGACUUUCUGGUCUGUAACUGACACUGAGGCGCGAAAGCCGUGGGAGCGAACAGG
rnacentral:rRNA from 1 species